AGCAGCCGCGGUAAUUCCAGCUCCAAUAGCGUAUAUUAAAGUUGUUGCAGUUAAAAAGCUCGUAGUUGAAUUUCGGAAUCUGUCCGUUGGUCGGGCUUCAUUGUCCGUACUGAUGUGAUGGGUUCUUACCUUCUGAAUAACCAGCAUGUCAUUAAUUUGGUGUGUUGGGGAAGCAGGACUAUUACCUUGAAAAAAUUUAGAGUGCUCAAAGCAGGCUAGUGCCUGAAUACAUUAGCAUGGAAUAAUAAAAUAGGACGGCAUGGUUCUAUUUUGUUGGUUUCUAGGACCACCGUAAUGAUUAAUAGGGAUAGUUGGGGGCAUUAGUAUUCAAUCGUCAGAGGUGAAAUUCUUGGAUUUAUUGAAGACUAACUUCUGCGAAAGCAUUUGCCAAGGAUGUUUUCAUUAAUCAAGAACGAAAGUUAGGGGAUCGAAGACGAUCAGAUACCGUCGUAGUCUUAACCAUAAACUAUGCCGACUAGGGAUUCGGACGAUGUUAAUUUUAUAAUUGACUCGUUCGGCC
rnacentral:rRNA from 1 species